rnacentral:lncRNA from 1 species
GAGAGUUUGUGGUUUUCAACAAUGGCAGCGAUAUCUCUACUCAGCAGUCAAUGUGUGCUAUUUUUUGAAUUCUCUAGCUAUAUAAGAAGCAGACACGUACCACAUACGUACUAUUACUGUCUGAACUAUGACUUUAGAUAUCAUAUACCUUAAAGUCGUUGUUGCAGUGGUAUUUCUACCAUUGUUUGCACGGGGCUUCUUAAUGGAUGGCAAUAUUACUACAAAUUCACCAGCUGUAGGGAUUACUACAGACUCUGUGAAGAAAAAUGGAACAACGAAAUUAGUCGAUGCAGGUAUAAAUGUUCCAACAAGAAUGCCAGC